rnacentral:rRNA from 1 species
GACGAACGCUGGCGGCGUGCUUAACACAUGCAAGUCGAACGGAAAGGCCCUGAUUGCAGGGUGCUCGAGUGGCGAGCGGGUGGGUAAGACGUGGGUGAUCUGCCCCUUACUAUGGGAUAAGCCUGGGAAACUGGGUGUAAUACUGGAUAGAAAAAUGCUGUAGGUGGUGUGGUGGAAAGAUUAGUUUCGGUAAGGGAUGAGCUCGCGGACGAUCAGCUUGUUGGUGGGCUAAUGGCCUACCAAGGCGUCGACGGGUAGCCGGCCUGAGAGGGUGGACGGCCACAUUCGGACUGAGAUGCGGCCCAGACUCCUACGGGAGGCAGCAGUGGGGGAUAUCGCAAAAUGGGCCCAAGCCUGAUGCAGCGACGCCGCGUGGAGGAUGACGGCCUCCGGGUUGUAAACUCCAAUCAUCCAUGACGAAGCCCUUGUGUUGACGGUAGUGGUAGAAGAAGCACCGGCUAACUACGUG